rnacentral:rRNA from 1 species
UGCUUACACAUGCAAGUCGAACGGUAACAGGCCUAGCUUGCUAGGUGCUGACGAGUGGCGGACGGGUGAGUAACGCGUAGGAAUCUAGCCUAUAGUGGGGGACAACUUGGGGAAACUCAAGCUAAUACCGCAUAAUCCCUAAGGGGUAAAGCAGGGGACCGUAAGGCCUUGUGCUGUAGGAUGAGCCUGCGUCAGAUUAGCUAGUUGGUGGGGUAAAGGCCUACCAAGGCGACGAUCUGUAGCUGGUCUGAGAGGAUGAUCAGCCACACUGGGACUGAGACACGGCCCAGACUCCUACGGGAGGCAGCAGUGGGGAAUAUUGGACAAUGGGGGAAACCCUGAUCCAGCAAUGCCGCGUGUGUGAAGAAGGCCUUAGGGUUGUAAAGCACUUUCAGAGGGGAAGAAGUGCUGAAUGCUAAUACCAUUCAGUGUUGACGUUACCUUCAGAAGAAGCACCGGCUAAUUCUGUGCCAGCAGCCGCGGUAAUACAGAAGGUGCGAGCGUUAAUCGGAAUUACUGGGCGUAAAGAGUGCGUAGGUGGCUCCUUAAGUCAGGCGUGAAAUCCACGGGCUCAACCCGUGAACUGCGUUUGAAACUGGGUAGCUAGAGUAUGGUAGAGGGAAGUGGAAUUUCAGGUGUAGCGGUGAAAUGCGUAGAUAUCUGAAGGAACACCAGUGGCGAAGGCGACUUCCUGGCCCAAUACUGACACUGAGGCACGAAAGCGUGGGGAUCAAACAGGAUUAGAUACCCUGGUAGUCCACGCCGUAAACGAUGAUAACUAGAUGUUGGGUGAUUUAAUCACUUGGUAUCGCAGCUAACGCGUUAAGUUAUCCGCCUGGG